rnacentral:rRNA from 1 species
AUUGAACGCUGGCGGGAUGCUUAACACAUGCAAGUCGAACGAGUGGCGGACGGGUGAGUAAUGUAUGGGAAACUGCCCGAUGGCGGGGGAUAACUACUGGAAACGGUAGCUCAUACCGCAUACCAUCGGAUGUGCCCAUAUGGGAUUAGCUAGUAGGUGGGGUAACGGCUCACCUAGGCGACGAUCCCUAGCUGGUUUGAGAGGAUGACCAGCCACACUGGAACUGAGACACGGUCCAGACUCCUACGGGAGGCAGCAGUGGGGAAGUUUGGACAAUUGGGGCAAGCCUGAUCCAGCCAUGCCGCGUGUAUGAAGAAGGCCUUCGGGUUGUAAAGUACUUUCAGCGGGGAGGCGGUACCCGCAGAAGAAGCACCGGCUAACUCCGUGCCAGCAGCCGCGGUAAUUC